rnacentral:rRNA from 1 species
UACGGAGGGUGCGAGCGUUGUCCGGAAUCACUGGGCGUAAAGGGCGCGUAGGCGGUCUGCUAAGCGUGCGGUGAAAGCCUGGGGCUCAACCCCAGGUCUGCCGUGCGAACUGGUGGACUAGAGCACUGUAGAGGCAGGUGGAAUUUCGGGUGUAGCGGUGGAAUGCGUAGAGAUCCGGAAGAACACCGGAGGCGAAGGCGGCUUGCUGGGCUUGGUCUGACGCUGAGGCGCGAAAGCGUGGGGAGCGAACAGG